GAUGAAGAACGUAGCGAAAUGCGAUACUUGGUGUGAAUUGCAGAAUCCCGUGAACCAUCGAGUUUUUGAACGCAAGUUGCGCCCGAAGCCUUUUGGCCGAGGGCACGUCUGCCUGGGCGUCACGCAUCGCGUCGCCCCCAACAAUUCUCCGUAAAGGGAACAUGUGUUUUGGGGGCGGAUAUUGGUCUCCCGUGCUCAUGGCGUGGUUGGCCGAAAUAGGAGUCCUUUCGAUGGACGCACGAACUAGUGGUGGUCGUAAAAACCCUCGUCUUUUGUUUCGUGCUGUUGCUCGCAAGGUAAACUCUUUAAAAACCCCAAUGUGUCGUCUCUUGACGACGCUUCGACCGCGACCCCAGGUCAGGCGGGACUACCCGCUGAGUUUAAGCAUAUCAAUAAGCGGAGGA
rnacentral:misc_RNA from 1 species